AUUGAACGCUGGCGGCAUGCUUUACACAUGCAAGUCGAACGGCAGCGCGGGCUUUGGCCUGGCGGCGCGUGGCGCACGGGUGAGUAAUGCAUCGGAACGUGCCCAGUAGUGGGGGAUAGCCCGGCGAAAGCCGGAUUUAUACCGCAUACGACCUGAGGGUGAAAGCGGGGGACCGAAAGGCCUCGCGCUCUUGGAGCGGCCGAUGUCGGAUUAGCUAGUUGGUGGGGUAAAGGCUUACCAAGGCGACGAUCCGUAGCUGGUCUGAGAGGACGACCAGCCACACUGGGACUGAGACACGGCCCAGACUCCUACGGGAGGCAGCAGUGGGGAAUUUUGGACAAUGGGGGCAACCCUGAUCCAGCCAUGCCGCGUGCGGGAAGAAGGCCUUCGGGUUGUAAACCGCUUUUGUUCGGGAAGAAAUCCUCUGGGCUAAUACCCCGGGGGGAUGACGGUACCGGAAGAAUAAGCACCGGCUAACUACGUG
rnacentral:rRNA from 1 species